rnacentral:rRNA from 1 species
UUUGGCCUCAACCUGUCGAGGAUACCCGCUGAACUUAAGCAUAUC